rnacentral:rRNA from 1 species
CCUACGGGGGGCAGCAGUGGGGAAUAUUGCACAAUGGGGGAAAUCCUGAUGCAGCGACGCCGCGUGAGUGAAGAAGUAUUUCGGUAUGUAAAGCUCUAUCAGCAGGGAAGAAAUAGCGACCUUUGGGUCGCCAGACGGUACCUGACUAAGAAGCCCCGGCUAACUACGUGCCAGCAGCCGCGGUAAAGAGUAGGGGGCAAGCGUUAACCGGAUUUACUGGGUGGAAAGGGAGCGUAGACGGCAGCACAAGUCUGAAGUGAAAUGCCGGGGCAUAACCCCGGAAUUGCUUUGGAAACUGUGCAGCUAGAGUGCAGGAGAGGUAAGUGGAAUUCCUGGUGUAGCGGUGAAAUGCGUAGAUAUUAGGAGGAACACCAGUGGCGAAGGCGGCUUACUGGACUGUAACUGACGUUGAGGCUCGAAAGCGUGGGGAGCAAACAGGAUUAGAUACCCCAGUAGUC